UCCCAGCUGUAAACCAUGCAGGCUAGGUGUUGGAACGGCUACGGGCCGUUCCAGUGCCGCAGGGAAGCUGUUAAGCCUGCCGCCUGGGGAGUACGGCCGCAAGGCUGAAACUUAAAGGAAUUGGCGGGGAGCACCACAAGGGGUGAAGCUUGCGGUUUAAUUGGAGUCAACGCCGGAAAUCUCACCGGGGGAGACAGCAGAAUGAAGGCCAGAUUAAAGGUCGAGACAAGCUG
rnacentral:rRNA from 1 species